UCUGUGAUGAAUCUCUCCCUUAACACAGACCCUGCCGUGACGCCCUCCUGUGUGCCUGCAUACAUAUCAGACUGCCAUGUGAACACAGAGGUUUCAGGAAAAGUACCAUUUCUCUGGGGUCCAGGUCCCUCUUUUAACAUCCUGGCCCCCCGGGAUCUGGAAGUACUCAUGUGACCCUGCCAGUCCUCUGGGGACAGUGGGAAGCAGCCAUGUUCUUUGUCUUGUUGAAUAUCACCUGCUCUUCUAAAAAAAAUCCCAAGCCAGGAUGGUGACAUGCGCCUUUAAACCCUGAAGGCAAAAGCAGAUGGAUAUCUGAAUUCUAGGUCAGCCUGGUCUAAACAGUGAGUUCCCGGCCAGCCUGGGCCACAUAGAGAGCCCCUGUCUAUAAAUAAACAAGUAAAUAAAAUAAAUAACCCAGUAAACCCAUUCAUACCAGGGCCUAUUGGCUACUAAUAAAUGCUUGCAGUUAACAGGGCACAAAGCCCCAAGAGUGAACUUGGAUUGCAGGGCUGGGGCCUUCCACAGACCCUCUGUGGUCACGGGAUCACAGCGCCUAGGCCUGCAGGCUGCCAGCCUCUGCACUGAGCAUCCCCCGGGGACCCAGCACAGACAUUCACAGCCGUGAUUUCUGCUCCAGACCCAUGGCUGAGUGCUUCCCAUGCACCGCCUCAUUUCCUCACAGGAGGCUCUCCUCACGCCAAGGCUGUCACAGCUUCCCUCCACUGGGCUUCCAGGAAACCCUUCGAGCACGCCGUAGAGCUCCACGCUCUUUCCUUUGUACACUCUGCACAAAUCGAUAUUUCCCAGGAGUCUUUGGGAUAGGAUCUAAAAAACCGCCAGUUUGCACACUUCAUGAGUCCCGUGGUCACAGAGCCUGGGAUGAGCAAAUCACAAAAGCAUUUGCAGAAGCAAGACCCCUGUGUGAGCAAGCAAGCGACACCCUCUUCCAGAAUUAGCGGCCUCCUUUGUCCUGAAUGGAUGCUUCCUCUCAGCUGGGGAGAAGGACCCAAGACAAAUGUGUUAAAAAGAGCCUUAUCUCUGUCCUGCGGAGGAUGUGAGGGUGAAUGAUUUCAGUCACCUAACAGCAGCCGCCUCCCUCCCUCAGCCAAAAAACAUCCCAGCUGCCUUUCUUUCCUGCAGCCAUAAAUAGGGAUCACUGAUGUCUAAACAGUAAAAUUAACAAAACAGAAGUCGGCCAGGCCAGCGGAGCACUGUGACGGGGAGGUGUUAUUCUGAGUUCUCAACGUGAAGACUCCAAUCAGUCGUUAAACAUCUCAUUUUUAAAA